UGUGAUGUGGACAUUCGCAAGGGCCUGAGUGCCACCAGCCAGCACUGUGCUGGCAUAUAGGUCCUUGUGAAUGUCCACAUCACACUUCAUGAUAGAGUUGAAG